ensembl:snoRNA
GGCAUUAGUGUGUAUAACUUGUGUGUAUAACAAAGCUAUAUAGAGAGGUGCAAAAAAUAAAUCCUCUUUUGCAAUUUAAAACUCAUUGUUAAGUAUGUUUUGAUACUUAUAAGAAGGAAUAUU